CUUCCAUCCUUCUGUUAGCGUCUCUUGGCAUUCAUUUGCUGGUGGCGGGCUCAGAUAUUUUACCUUGAGAAAAUUAGAGUGUUUCAGGCAGGCUAGGCCGGAAUACAUUAGCAUGGAAUAAUGGAAUAGGACUUCGGUCUCUUUGUUGGUUUGAGGGACUGCAGUAAUGAUUAAUAGGGAUAGUUGGGGGCAUUAGUAUUUAAUUGUCAGAGGUGGAAUUCUCAGAUUUGUUAAAGACUAACUUAUGCGAAAGCAUUUGCCAAGGAUGUUUUCAUUAAUCAAGAACGAAAGUUAGGGGAUCAAAGACGAUCAGAUACCGUCCUAGUCUUAACCAU
rnacentral:rRNA from 1 species